rnacentral:rRNA from 1 species
GACGAACGCUGGCGGCGUGCUUAACACAUGCAAGUCGAACGGAAAGGCCCUGCUUUUGUGGGGUGCUCGAGUGGCGAACGCGUGCGUAACACGAGAGUAACCUGCCCUUGUCUUUGGGAUAACUUCAGGAAACUGGGGCUACUCCCGGAUAGGAUCCCCUGCUGCAUGGUGGGGGUUGGAAAGUUUCGGCGGUGGGGGCUGGACUGGCGGCUUAUCAGCUUGUUGGUGGGGUAGUGGCUUACCCAGGCGUUGACGGGUAGCUGGCUAGUGAGGGUGAGCGGCCACAUUGGGACUGAGAUGCGGCCCAGACUCCGACGGGAGGCAGAAGUGGGGAAUAUUGCACAAGGGGCGGAAGCCUGAUGCAGAAACGCCGCGGGCGGGAUGACGGCCUUCGGGUUGAAAAACGCUUGCGCGUGUGACGAAGCGUGAGUGACGGUAAUGGGUAAAGAAGCACCGGCUAACUACGUGC